CCUACGGGUGGCUGCAGUGAGGAAUAUUGGUCAAUGGACGAGAGUCUGAACCAGCCAAGUAGCGUGAAGGAAGACUGCCCUAUGGGUUGUAAACUUCUUUUAUAAAGGAAUAAAACGAGGCACGUGUGCCUUUUUGCAUGUACUGUAUGAAUAAGGAUCGGCUAACUCCGUGCCAGCAGCCGCGGUAAUACGGAGGAUCCGAGCGUUAUCCGGAUUUAUUGGGUUUAAAGGGAGCGUAGAUGGGUGUUUAAGUCAGAUGUGAAAGUUUGGGGCUCAACUGUAAAAUUGCAAUUGCUACUGGCAGGCUUGAGUACAGUUGAGGUAGGCGGAAUUCAUGGUGUAGCGGUGAAAUGCUUAGAUAUCACACAGAACACCGAUUGCGAAGUCAGCUUACUAAACUAUGACUGACAUUGAUGCUCGAAAGUGUGGGUAUCAAACAGGAUUAGAUACCCUAGUAGUC
rnacentral:rRNA from 1 species